GUGGGGGAUCGCAAGACCUCAUGCUCGUGGAGCGGCCGAUAUCUGAUUAGCUAGUUGGUAGGGUAAAAGCCUACCAAGGCAUCGAUCAGUAGCUGGUCUGAGAGGACGACCAGCCGCACUGGGACUGAGACACGGCCCAGACUCCUACGGGAGGCAGCAGUGGGGAAUUUUGGACAAUGGGCGCAAGCCUGAUCCAGCAAUGCCGCGUGAGUGAAGAAGGCCUUCGGGUUGUAAAGCUCUUUUGUCAGGGAAGAAACGGGUUGAGCUAAUAUCUUGGCCUAAUGACGGUACCUGAAGAAUAAGCACCGGCUAACUACGUG
rnacentral:rRNA from 1 species